GCGAUUUAUGAACAUUCUAUUUGAGCUGGAAUAUUUUAUGCCUCCUGGAUUUUAAAAUGUAUAUUGGAGGAGUUUGACGGUGAAUAGCGGCAAGACAAUGCACUGUACUCAAAGCCAUGCGCACUUGGGCUCACACUAUCAAGUGGUACACGAUGAUCAACAUCGCCAGUGCAGGACUUCGACAUUUUUUCGGAUAUAAUUUCUUCCAUGGAUAUAUUUGUUAGCUGUGAACUCGUUGAGAAUAUAGUGAGGGACACUGUGAAUAUAUGAACGGAAUUUCAGCUUCUCAAAUCAGAAAGCAUUGCGAAAGUUCCGUUGGUUAUUGCCGUGAUGCGUGUGUGUACGUCGUGUAGCUAGGACGGUGGUUAACAAAAGCACAACCACUAUAACUCGCAUUUUUCAAGCAUUUUCAAUAUUUAAAGACCUGAAGUCCCAUCCACUAUUCCACGCAAUCGACUGGAAGCGAAUCAGGGAGACAGAAGCCCCUUUCAUCCCAGCCCCAGAUGACAGAACGGACACCACUUAUUUUGACGCUCGGAACAACAUGCAGCAUCUCCAGAUGUCUUCUUUUGCACUUUGACCUCUUGAAUGAUAGUGCAAUCCACAACUCAUCAACAUGAAACUAUUCCAGGAUGGUGGUCAACUUGGUCCAGUGGUUAGACUGCAGGACUUGCAAUCACAAGGUUGUAGGUUUGAAUCAUACUAAGCUAACUGUG